UUAAGCGACUAAGCGUACACGGUGGAUGCCCUGGCAGUCAGAGGCGAUGAAGGACGUGCUAAUCUGCGAAAAGCGUCGGUAAGGUGAUAUGAACCGUUAUAACCGGCGAUGUCCGAAUGGGGAAACCCAGUGCAAUUCGUUGCACUAUCGUUAACUGAAUACAUAGGUUAACGAGGCGAACCGGGGGAACUGAAACAUCUAAGUACCCCGAGGAAAAGAAAUCAACCGAGAUUCCCCCAGUAGCGGCGAGCGAACGGGGAGCAGCCCAGAGUCUGAAUCAGCUUGUGUGUUAGUGGAACGGUCUGGAAAGUCCGACGGUACAGGGUGAUAGUCCCGUACACCAAAAUGCACAGGCUGUGAACUCGAAGAGUAGGGCGGGACACGUGGUAUCCUGUCUGAAUAUGGGGGGGCCAUCCUCCAAGGCUAAAUACUCCUGACUGACCGAUAGUGAACCAGUACCGUGAGGGAAAGGCGAAAAGAACCCCGGCGAGGGGAGUGAAAAAGAACCUGAAACCGUGUACGUACAAGCAGUGGGAGCACCUUCGGGUGUGACUGCGUACCUUUUGUAUAAUGGGUCAGCGACUUAUAUUCUGUAGCAAGGUUAACCGUAUAGGGGAGCCGCAGGGAAACCGAGUCUUAACUGGGCGUUAAGUUGCAGGGUAUAGACCCGAAACCCGGUGAUCUAGCCAUGGGCAGGUUGAAGGUUGGGUAACACUAACUGGAGGACCGAACCGACUAAUGUUGAAAAAUUAGCGGAUGACUUGUGGCUGGGGGUGAAAGGCCAAUCAAACCGGGAGAUAGCUGGUUCUCCCCGAAAGCUAUUUAGGUAGCGCCUCGUGAAUUCAUCUUCGGGGGUAGAGCACUGUUUCGGCUAGGGGGUCAUCCCGACUUACCAACCCGAUGCAAACUACGAAUACCGAAGAAUGUUAUCACGGGAGACACACGGCGGGUGCUAACGUCCGUCGUGAAGAGGGAAACAACCCAGACCGCCAGCUAAGGUCCCAAAGUCAUGGUUAAGUGGGAAACGAUGUGGGAAGGCACAGACAGCCAGGAUGUUGGCUUAGAAGCAGCCAUCAUUUAAAGAAAGCGUAAUAGCUCACUGGUCGAGUCGGCCUGCGCGGAAGAUGUAACGGGGCUAAACCAUGCACCGAAGCUGCGGCAGCGACACUAUGUGUUGUUGGGUAGGGGAGCGUUCUGUAAGCCUGCGAAGGUGACCUGUGAGGGUUGCUGGAGGUAUCAGAAGUGCGAAUGCUGACAUAAGUAACGAUAAAGCGGGUGAAAAGCCCGCUCGCCGGAAGACCAAGGGUUCCUGUCCAACGUUAAUCGGGGCAGGGUGAGUCGACCCCUAAGGCGAGGCCGAAAGGCGUAGUCGAUGGGAAACAGGUUAAUAUUCCUGUACUUGGUGUUACUGCGAAGGGGGGACGGAGAAGGCUAUGUUAGCCGGGCGACGGUUGUCCCGGUUUAAGCAUGUAGGCUGGUUGUCCAGGCAAAUCCGGAUAAUCAAGGCUGAGGUGUGAUGACGAGGCACUACGGUGCUGAAGUAACAAAUGCCCUGCUUCCAGGAAAAGCCUCUAAGCAUCAGGUAACAUCAAAUCGUACCCCAAACCGACACAGGUGGUCAGGUAGAGAAUACCAAGGCGCUUGAGAGAACUCGGGUGAAGGAACUAGGCAAAAUGGUGCCGUAACUUCGGGAGAAGGCACGCUGGUGUGUAGGUGAAGUCCCUGCGGAUGGAGCUGAGACCAGUCGAAGAUACCAGCUGGCUGCAACUGUUUAUUAAAAACACAGCACUGUGCAAACACGAAAGUGGACGUAUACGGUGUGACGCCUGCCCGGUGCCGGAAGGUUAAUUGAUGGGGUUAUCCGUAAGGAGAAGCUCUUGAUCGAAGCCCCGGUAAACGGCGGCCGUAACUAUAACGGUCCUAAGGUAGCGAAAUUCCUUGUCGGGUAAGUUCCGACCUGCACGAAUGGCGUAAUGAUGGCCAGGCUGUCUCCACCCGAGACUCAGUGAAAUUGAACUCGCUGUGAAGAUGCAGUGUACCCGCGGCAAGACGGAAAGACCCCGUGAACCUUUACUAUAGCUUGACACUGAACAUUGAGCCUUGAUGUGUAGGAUAGGUGGGAGGCUUUGAAGCGUGGACGCCAGUCUGCGUGGAGCCAACCUUGAAAUACCACCCUUUAAUGUUUGAUGUUCUAACGUUGGCCCCUGACCGGGGUUGCGGACAGUGUCUGGUGGGUAGUUUGACUGGGGCGGUCUCCUCCCAAAGCGUAACGGAGGAGCACGAAGGUUAGCUAAUCCUGGUCGGACAUCAGGAGGUUAGUGCAAUGGCAUAAGCUAGCUUGACUGCGAGCGUGACGGCGCGAGCAGGUGCGAAAGCAGGUCAUAGUGAUCCGGUGGUUCUGAAUGGAAGGGCCAUCGCUCAACGGAUAAAAGGUACUCCGGGGAUAACAGGCUGAUACCGCCCAAGAGUUCAUAUCGACGGCGGUGUUUGGCACCUCGAUGUCGGCUCAUCACAUCCUGGGGCUGAAGUAGGUCCCAAGGGUAUGGCUGUUCGCCAUUUAAAGUGGUACGCGAGCUGGGUUUAGAACGUCGUGAGACAGUUCGGUCCCUAUCUGCCGUGGGCGCUGGAGAAUUGAGGGGGGCUGCUUCUAGUACGAGAGGACCGGAGUGGACGCAUCACUGGUGUUCGGGUUGUCAUGCCAAUGGCACUGCCCGGUAGCUAAAUGCGGAAGAGAUAAGUGCUGAAAGCAUCUAAGCACGAAACUUGCCCCGAGAUGAGUUCUCCCUGAGACUUUAAGUCUCCUGAAGGAACGUUAAAGACGAUGACGUUGAUAGGCCGGGUGUGUAAGCGCAGCGAUGCGUUGAGCUAACCGGUACUAAUGAACCGUGAGGCUUAACCUU
rnacentral:rRNA from 1 species